rnacentral:rRNA from 1 species
GAGUUUGAUCGUGGCUCAGAUUGAACGCUGGCGGCAUGCCUUACACAUGCAAGUCGAACGGCAGCGCGGAAUGGGGUAACCCGGCCUGGCGGCGAGUGGCGAACGGGUGAGUAAUAUAUCGGAACGUACCCUGGAGUGGGGGAUAACGUAGCGAAAGUUACGCUAAUACCGCAUACGAUCUAAGGAUGAAAGCAGGGGACCGCAAGGCCUUGUGCUCCUGGAGCGGCCGAUAUCUGAUUAGCUAGUUGGUAGGGUAAAAGCCUACCAAGGCAUCGAUCAGUAGCUGGUCUGAGAGGACGACCAGCCACACUGGAACUGAGACACGGUCCAGACUCCUACGGGAGGCAGCAGUGGGGAAUUUUGGACAAUGGGCGCAAGCCUGAUCCAGCAAUGCCGCGUGAGUGAAGAAGGCC